rnacentral:lncRNA from 1 species
UCUUUAAUAGGCAUGUAGUGCUUCCACUAAAAAUUUUGAUUAGAUCCAACUAUUAAUAUAAAUAUACUCAGUGCAUCUAACUAAUAGAUUAGGCCUGAGUGUGGCCCGACCAACCUGACCAUCCAUCAGAAAGUCACAACUGAAUCAUCAUAUCAUGAAUAAUAAUUCUAAUAUCCAGAUAAACACUAGGCAUGUGGCACCUCCAAUGAUUAUC